rnacentral:rRNA from 1 species
GACGAACGCUGGCGGCGUGCCUAAUACAUGCAAGUUGAGCGCUGAAGGUUGGUACUUGUACCAACUGGAUGAGCAGCGAACGGGUGAGUAACGCGUGGGGAAUCUGCCUUUGAUCGGUGGACAACAUUUGGAAACGAAUGCUAAUACCGCAUAAAAACUUUAAACACAAGUUUUAAGUUUGAAAGAUGCAAUUGCAUCACUCAAAGAUGAUCCCGCGUUGUAUUAGCUAGUUGGUGAGGUAAAGGCUCACCAAGGCGAUGAUACAUAGCCGACCUGAGAGGGUGAUCGGCCAAAUUGGGACUGAGACACGGCCCAAACUCCUACGGGAGGCAGCAGUAGGGAAUCUUCGGAAAUGGACGAAAGUCUGACCGAGCAACGACGCGUGAGUGAAGAAGGUUUUCGGAUCGUAAAACUCUGUUGGUAGAGAAGAACGUUGGUGAGAGUGGAAAGCUCAUCAAGUGACGGUAACUACCCAGAAAGGGACGGCUAACUACGUG